GCCCGGGCGGUGGAACUGGUAGACACGGCGAUCUGUCACGUCGCUGGCCGCAAGGCCGUGCGGGUUCGACCCCCGCCCCGGGCA
rnacentral:tRNA from 1 species